rnacentral:rRNA from 1 species
UACGUAGGGAGCGAGCGUUGUCCGGAAUUACUGGGCGUAAAGGGCGCGUAGGCGGGAUUUUAAGUCAGUUGUGAAAACUCCGGGCUCAACCUGGAGAUAGCAGUUGAAACUGAAAUUCUUGAGGACAGGAGAGGAAAGUGGAAUUCCUAGUGUAGCGGUGAAAUGCGUAGAUAUUAGGAGGAACACCAGUGGCGAAGGCGACUUUCUGGACUGUAACUGACGCUGAGGCGCGAAAGCGUGGGGAGUGAACGGG